rnacentral:rRNA from 1 species
UACAGAGGUCUCAAGCGUUGUUCGGAUUCAUUGGGCGUAAAGGGUGUGUAGGUGGCGCGCUAAGUCGGGUGUGAAAUUUCGGAGCUUAACUCCGAAACUGCAUUCGAUACUGGCGUGCUUGAGGACUGGAGAGGAGACUGGAAUUUACGGUGUAGCAGUGAAAUGCGUAGAUAUCGUAAGGAAGACCAGUGGCGAAGGCGGGUCUCUGGACAGUUCCUGACAGCUGAGACACGAAGGCCAGGGGAGCAAACGGG